UACGUAGGUGACGAGCGUUAUCCGGAAUUACUGGGCGUAAAGCGCACGCAAGCGGUUGGACAAGUCUGGCGUGAAAUCUCCUGGCUUAACUAGGAGCGGUCGCUGGAAACUGUUCGGCUUGAGGCGAUGAGAGGGGUGCAGAAUUCCCGGUGUAGUGGUGGAAUGCGUAGAUAUCGGGAGGAACACCAGUGGCGAAGGCGGCUUCCUGGCCUGUUCUUGACGCUGAGGCGCGAAAGCUAGGGUAGCAAACGGG
rnacentral:rRNA from 1 species